CUUGUACUCCCUCCGUCCAAAAAUACUUGUCAUUGAAAUGGAUGUAUCUAGAUGUAUUUUAGUUCUAGACACAUCCAUUUUGAUGACAAGUAAUUCUGGACGGAGGGAGUACUUG
rfam:Triticum aestivum genome assembly, contig: Triticum_aestivum_CS42_TGACv1_scaffold_072734_1DL